GCAUAAAAAAGAUUGGGCAGAUGUACUAAACUGAGCCUCACACUUGUUGAUAAGGAGUAUCUUUCCUACCAAAAAAGCUUGGAAAAUAGGUUCCCGCAGACAGACGCAUUUUGCCGGAAAACGAAUCUGACAUGCCACCUCGAGAUUUUAACCAAGGAAAGACAAGUUGAUGUGCUUUGAUUUGAGGGGUCACUCACAACCGAACGAAAAUUAGGGACAUCGCUAUGAGAAGAAACGUUAACAUUGUCGCCUAUGGGAAAACAAUUAGUGGACUGUACCCAUAUUAGGAAGCCUAUAAGUCCAUGCAGAUGGUGUUUAAAACUAUUGGCCAGCAAAUGCACGCCCAUUUGAAUACAUCUUGAAACAGCACCAGCAAAGUGUGACAGUCGGCAAAAUGUAAUCGGUAGGAGAAGAAAGUAGUGCAGAAAAAAUUCCAAGUUCCUUAAUUUGCAGACUUGCAUAAAAAAAAUUGGGCAGAUGUACUAAACUGAGCCUCACACUUGUUGAUAAGGAGUAUCUUUCCUACCAAAAAAGCUUGGAAAAUGUAAUUUAUCAAGAAGAUCAGCCGAAUUAUUUUGUGUAUUAUAACGCCAGUUACA